GUGACGGCACCUCCUUGUCUUCACUACACAGUUUCAUCUGUCGCAGUAAGCAGUGAUUAACGAAGCAAACAUAUAUUGAAUUAUUUCAAUCAGUGAAUACGAAAAAUUAUGAAAAAAAGAACGAAGAAGGAUCGUGAUAAAGUCGAGAAUAUGGCACCUACAAAACAGGCUGUGCGCAAGAAGACGACAGAAAGAAUCGGAUCAAGAAGCCAGAAAAUCCAGAUAGAGUAUGAUACAGUGGAAUACGUAGACAGAACAGGAAAUGA